GCCUAGCCGUAAAAUUUAUUUACAUCAAACACGCCUGGGAAUUACGAGCACAAGCUUAAAACCCAAAGGAUUUGACGGUGUCCUACCCACCUAGAGGAGCCUGUUCUAUAAUCGAUAAUCCACGAUAAACCUUACCAUUUUUUGCCUUUUCAGCCUGUAUACCUCCGUCGACAACCUACCAUUUGAGUGAACAAAGUUGGUUUAAUGGUCUUAUACACCAAUAUGCCAGGUCAAGGUGCAGCCUAUAAAAUGGAAAGCAAUGGGCUACAAUUUCUAAUAUAGAACAAACGGAAAACUAUAUGAAACAUAGUCAUGAAGGCGGAUUUAGCAGUAAAAGAAGAAUAGUGAGCUUCUUUUAAUAAGGCUCUAGGACAUGUACAAACCGCCCGUCACCCUCCUCAAUAGCAAUCUCUUUAGUUUCUUAACAUCUAAACAGCACCUUAGAAGAGGCAAGUCGUAACAUGGUAAGUGUACUGGAAAGUGUACUUGGUUAAACAAAGUGUAGCUUAACUAAAGCCUUUCGCUUACACCGAAAAAAUAUCUGUUCAAUCCAGAUCCCUUUGAGCUCUAAAUCUAGCCUACACAUCUAUUUAUAAAACAUCCUAUCAACUUAAAUAUAAUAAAACAUUUUAAUAGUUUAGUAAAGGAGAUUAAAAAACAUGUUAGCGC
rnacentral:rRNA from 1 species